AUGAACUCUUCGAUAGAAGUAAGUGCACGUUAAAAAAUCCAUUGCACCCUGUAUGCAAUCUAUAGUGCCCGUAGCAAUCUCGGCAUUUAAAUGGUUAUCCAAUACUUUAUGUAAAUAAGACUCUACUGGAAAUCCACUAUGUAGAAAGUGCUUAUAAAACGACUUCUUAAUAUCCUGUACAAAUAUACGUGCCACACCAGAAUUGUCAAAUUGUGGUCGUCCUGCACGCCCUAACAUUUGAAGCACAUCCGUCAAAUCCAUGUCUUUAUAGCCUCCAAUUUUAGCAUCGUAAUACUCUGUUCCUUUCACAAUUACCAAAUGUGCCGGCGUAUUUACACCCCAUGCAAGAGUGCUGGUGGCGAUGAGAAUCUGAACUUUAUUAUUUACAAAAAGCUCUUCGGAAAUUUUUCUAUCAUUUUCAGUCAAACCAGCAUGGUGAAGUGCUAUACCAAAUGGUAAAGCCAACUUGAGGCUUUUAUCUUCAACUUCUGAAACAAUCAUUUCUAAUUCUUCUUCAUCCAUGUACAAAAAUCUCCUAGGAUUGUCUUCUAAACCACAAAAAGCUAUCAAAUCUUUUGCAGUUAAUCUAGUUUGACGGCGCGACGAAACAAAAAUUAAAACAGGUUGGGUAGGAGAGUGCGUUUUGAUGGCUUGAAAAGCAGGCUUAUUCAUCGACAUCAUCCUUGGGCAAUAGGCUCUACCAGGGAAUCCAUCGAUAUAUAUUUCUAAAGGAACUGGGCGCACGGAAUGCCUAAAAUUAAAUAGACCAUCUCUUAUGUUAAGCCAAUUUGCAAGAUCGUUAGCGUUAGCAACAGCAGUAGAUAAACCAAGAACUCUAACUUUCUUAUUAGUUUGAGAAGCAACAUAAUUCAUUCGGGAGACAAUCAUUUCAAGGACAGGACCUCGAUCGCUACCUAAUAAAUGGAUUUCGUCAAGGAUAAUUAAUGAGACAUCCUGAACAUACUUCCUAGAUUUCCAACUUCUAGUAAUACCAUCCCAUUUU